AAAUUGAAGAGUUUGAUCAUGGCUCAGAUUGAACGCUGGCGGCAGGCCUAACACAUGCAAGUCGAACGGUAACAGGAAACAGCUUGCUGUUUCGCUGACGAGUGGCGGACGGGUGAGUAAUGUCUGGGAAACUGCCUGAUGGAGGGGGAUAACUACUGGAAACGGUAGCUAAUACCGCAUAAUGUCGCAAGACUAAAGAGGGGGACCUUCG
rnacentral:rRNA from 2 species